ACUCAAAUGAAUUGACGGGGACCCGCACAACCGGUGGAGCGUGUGGUUCAAUUUGAUACGAAGCAAAAAACCUUACCAGGGUUUGACAUGUAAUCGUUUUAUGCCUAUGGAAACACUGGCAGAUCCGUAAGGAUGAUUACACAGGUGCUGCAUGGCUGUCGUCAGCUCGUGCCGUGAGGUGUUCCCUUAAGUGGGGAAACGAGCGCAACCCGCGUACAAUGUUAAAUUUUUCAUUGUGGACAGCUCCUGUUUUACAGGAGAGGAAGGAGCGGAAGACGUCAAGUCAGCAUGGUCCUUACACCCUGGGAUACACACACCCUACAAUGGCGAAAAACAACGAGCCGCAAGCCGGCAACGGCAAGCAAAUCUCUUAAAUUUCGCCUCAGUUCAGAUUGGGGUCUGCAACCCGACCCCAUGAAGUCGGAAUCGGUAGUAAUCGCGGAUCAGCAGGCCGCGGUGAAUACGUUCUCGGGUCUUGUACACACCGCCCGU
rnacentral:rRNA from 1 species